rnacentral:lncRNA from 1 species
UUGGGUUUAUUAUUUUUUUAUGAGCCCGAGCUAAAUUGGCCUAUUACAGCUGCCCCUCUUUGCUCAUUAUCGUGUAACGAGAACGGAGCAAAGACUUUAGAAAUGGCCAAUUUUGCCUGGCCGUGCUAGACUUUAGCGCUCUUCUUCUUCUUCAAAUAGCUUCAUUCAUUCCUACUGCAUCUUCAGAGGUAUAGGAACUGGUGCUUCAACCUACUCCACUGCAAUGCCAGGGAGAUAGGAUUUGCACGUUGUAGUUUUUCAAAAUUUGCUAUCUUUAAU